CGCCGCCGCCGCACCGUGAGGGAGCGGCGGGAGUUGCUGCGGCCUUCCUUAUCCGUCCCCCGCUUCGAAUCCCACAGCCCUCGCGAUCGCGACAGCUCUCCGCUGCAUCGUAAUUAACUCCAGCGGAAAAGCCCCGCUGUACUUCCGGCACUGUUCGGGGCGUGUCUGGCCGCGGCGCCACCCGCGUUCUAUGGUCCGCGGCGCUCCCAGGGUCCCCCGCGCCGCGGCCGGUACGCGGGAGGAGCGCGGCGGCGGGCGCUGGCCUGUCCGGGGCCUGUCUUGCCCCGGGGCUGCGCCUGCCCGCGGCCGCCAUGGAGCUGGAGGUGCCUGAGGAGGCGGAGGGCUCGGCCGCGGCGGGUGCCGGUGCCAUCACUCCGGAGGCCGGCGUAGGGGGACCGGACGCGUCAGGAGGUCUGGGCCCAAAGAAGACAGCUGUCACUGAGGGCCCAUCACUGCCAGGACAGCCAGGCCAAGGAAAGAAGAUUGGCCAUCGAAGUGUGGAUGCUUCUGGGGAAACUACCUACAAAAAGACCACCUCAUCUACUCUGAAGGGGGCCAUCCAGCUGGGGAUUGGAUAUACUGUGGGCAAUCUGAGCUCCAAGCCAGAGAGAGAUGUCCUGAUGCAGGACUUCUAUGUGGUGGAGAGCAUUUUUUUCCCAAGUGAAGGCAGUAACCUCACCCCGGCUCACCACUACGCCGACUUCAGGUUCAAGACCUAUGCCCCAGUGGCUUUCCGGUACUUCCGAGAGCUCUUUGGGAUUCGUCCAGAUGAUUAUUUGUAUUCAUUAUGUAACGAGCCUCUGAUCGAGCUGUCCAACCCCGGGGCCAGCGGCUCCCUCUUCUAUGUCACCAGCGACGAUGAGUUCAUCAUAAAAACUGUGAUGCACAAGGAAGCUGAAUUCCUGCAGAAGCUCCUUCCUGGAUACUACAUGAAUCUGAACCAGAACCCCCGGACACUGCUGCCCAAGUUCUAUGGACUGUACUGUGUGCAGUCUGGGGGCAAAAACAUCCGCGUGGUCGUGAUGAACAACAUCCUGCCUCGAGUGGUGAAAAUGCACCUGAAAUUCGAUCUCAAAGGUUCAACCUACAAACGCCGGGCAUCCAAGAAGGAGAAAGAAAAGUCCAGCCCUACAUACAAGGAUCUGGACUUCAUCCAAGACAUGCCUGAGGGCCUGAUGUUGGAUGCAGACACCUUCAGUGCUUUGGUGAAGACAUUGCAGCGAGACUGUCUGGUAUUGGAAAGCUUUAAAAUCAUGGACUACAGCCUCCUGCUUGGGGUUCAUAACAUAGACCAGCACGAGCGGGAGCAGCUGUCGGAGGGAGCCCACAGCACGUCGGAUGAGAAGCGUCCUGUGGGGCAGAAGGCCCUGUACUCCACAGCCAUGGAGUCCAUCCAAGGAGGGGCUGCCAGGGGGGAGUCCAUAGACACAGACGACACGAUGGGAGGGAUCCCAGCAGUGAAUGGCAAAGGAGAGCGUCUCCUGCUGCACGUAGGAAUCAUAGAUAUCCUGCAGUCAUACAGGUUCAUCAAGAAAUUAGAACACACCUGGAAGGCCCUUGUCCAUGAUGGGGACACGGUGUCAGUACACAGACCCAGCUUUUAUGCAGAGCGAUUCUUCAAAUUCAUGACCAACACAGUAUUUCGAAAGAAUUCCUCUCUGAAGUCAUCCCCCUCAAAGAAAGGGCGUAGUGCCUUGCUGGCCGUGAAGACAGCAGGUCCCACCGCGGCGUUCUCAGCCAGCCAGCUGGCCUCUGACAAGGAUGACACCCAGUACGACCUGCGGGCAGCCAGGAGUUACCCCACGCUUGACGAUGAAGGUGCUAAACCUAACCAGGACAGGGAAGAAGCAGGCAGGCCAGACCUACUCCCUUGCACUCCUCCUUCCUUUGAAGAAGCUACCACAGCCUCCAUAGCCACGACACUAUCGUCAACAUCUCUCUCUGUUCCUGAGCGAUCCCCCUCGGAGACCUCUGAGCAGCCCAGGUACAGGAGGCGUACACACUCCUCAGGGCAGGAUGGCAGGUCACACGAGGAGGUGCGGGUCGAGGAGGAGGAGGUUCAGCAAAUCAGCGUCGAGCUGGAGCCCAAGUGUGACGUUGAGAUUGUAGCUCCUGAAGAAGUCAAAGAAGAGGCAGCUUCUUCAGCCUGUGCCAUUGUCACAUCCACAGCCACCGUAGAGGUGGAGACGGCCAGCCAGGCCUCGGAACCAGCCAGCCAGGCCUCAGAUGAAGACGACGUGCCAGUCACAGACAUAUACUUUGCUGCAUUAGGUGAUGCAGUGGGAGUCUAGUGCUGAGCCAGGGAGUAAGUUGGUUGUUGGCAGCAGAGUGCCGUGGAGCCUGGCGCUGGUCCUCACUCAGCUCCCACAAUGGCUGAGCAACUUCUGCAGACCAGAGAAGAGGUUUUUUAGCAACACGUACCUGUCCCAUGGAUUCCCAGAGCAGAGCUGAGUGCCUGUCCCAUGAGAGCUGAACUCUCUCUCGUGCCUGAGCACUGGAACCCUCAUUAAAAGAGGUGCCCGGCUCCUCCCUGCUCCGACUUGUUGCUGUUGGUUCUGUGGUGCUGGAGAUGACCUAAGCCCAUGCAAUGGGCUCCUUCAGGCUAAACUAAAAUGCAGCAUUGGCCUUUCCCUGGGCUCUUGUGACUCUGCUGCAGAGCUGCUCACUCAUUGCCUAGUCACUCUGAGGCUCGUGGGAGCUGUGGAAGGAAUCAGCCCUGUUUUACAGCUUGUUUGGGGUUGGAUGCAUGCUGUUCAAAAUGCAAACAGCUCCUCUAACACUGCUGCCCCCUCCUUGCCUGUGGAUGGCAGUUGUGUGCAGGCAGAUCCUGCCUGCUCCCCUGGCAAGUGUCUUCUAGCAAGGGUCAGCUGUUCUUCCUCCCUGUCCCUGGGCAUAUGGACUGCCCCCAGCUUGAGGGGCACCUCUAUCCAAGAGAAAAUUCUGCAGUGUGUUCACAGAGUGUGACUGACUGCUCAUCAGCAUUUCAUACUUCAUCUGAGUCUGAGUUUUGCAUUAAAUGUGUGUCGUGUGCUGUGGAGUGUUUGUCACUGCUGGGAUGAAGGGAAAAGCUGAUUUGAGUUCCCAUGGGUGCUGUCCUUGGAAAACCACUUGAACUGGAGCUCAGUAAUCUCUAUGCAGACACAGAAGUCCCAGAGAGCAGCGAUUCCCUCUGCAGGUCGAUGUGUUCCCUUUUCGUUGAUGCAGCCAUUCCAGUGGGAUGGGGAAGAGCUUGCUGACACCAGUAUUGCUGCACUGCAGGAUCCUGGGUACUGCGUUUCAGAAUGGAGCAAAACUAUAACCAUGUAUUUCUACUUACCCCAGAUGUGGGCAGCAAAGAAACCACCCACUCACCCGCAGCUCCCAGCAGAGAAUUCCAGCUGGGUGUAGAGAAUCCUGGGUAGUAACACAGUGUUUUCCAGACGUGCACUACCGUAGCUACCUAUCCAUGUGUGAUACUGUGAACCUUUUUAAUUUUUUAAUCAUGUAUUUAUUUCUUUUAUCUUUGCACAGAGACAGCACAAAUGUGCUUUUUUAAAGAUUUAGUUUACUGCACUUUUUUUUCUUUUUUUCCUUUUUUUUUCCCUUUUUUUUUUUUUUUUUUUUGUCAUAUAUUUGUGCAUCAAAGAGGAGCAUGAGACUUCACUGAAGAAUGGGUAGGAGCACGUUGCUGGGGAGGGCAGAGAGUGGAGUGGCUUCAUGUGAGGCAGCAGAGUGUGGUCUGACCAGCUGAGGGAGUCAGGAGGUUUAAGGCUGUCCAGACUCUGCCACGGUUUUUCCAAGUGGCCCAAGGCGAGUCACUAAACCACUCUGUGCCUCAGUUUCCCCCGUGCUAAUGGGUGCACAGUACCUGCUUCUGUUACAGCACUUAAACCCUGGGAUGAAAGGUGCUAUGAAAAUGAAAUGUAUUAAAGGCCAUGGAAUAGAAUUGCUCCCAUGUUACCAUAGUUCAAAGUAGCCAUGCCAAUUCACUUGGAUCCAAACUCUCUAGUGACUUCUCCUGUCUGUAACACUGUGCGGGGCAGCACACAGUUCCUGGUGACAGUGAUGUGGAUUCCUCAGCUCUCCCUGAAGUCAGGAUGGGUUGCACCUUCACCUUGUGCUGCACUGCUGCACCACUCCUCCCUCUGUGCUUGGAGUCCACACUUCAUCCAACCGGCCGCCGCCUGCUCCAGACCAGUGGGAACUGGGCACCUCCAAAGCCUGGCCACGUUGGAGGGCGAGUUCCCCACUCUGCCCAGCCCACGUGGGGCUUGUCCAGACCCUGCAUCCUCCUGGAGCCACUCAGCCCUUCACGUGCUCAUGGCUGUACCCUGGGGUCACGGACGCUGGGUUCACACUGUCCCCUCUGCCCCUCAGGGCAGGCAGGGAGACAAGGGAGACAAGGGUACAUCCACACACUGGAGGCAGGAAGGGGAGCCUGGCUCCACCGCAGAAUUGUGCCAGCACUGCUGUGCUCAUGGACUCUUGGACAGAAAGCUGGGUGACUGGGGUGUUGCCUGGGGUCACAUCUGCUGGUGGAAAUCCCUGCUGCGGGUGUCUUAGAGGGUUUGCUUUACAAGAGCUGUGAGCUAUAGGUGAGAGAAUUUGAUGUCACGGGGUAGUGUUCAGGUUCAUCCAUCAGCAGUAUACGUAUCAUAGCAUAGUCUGGAAUCCAGCAAUCCCAGCCUCAUCUCCCAGAGAGAAAACAGGAAAUCCUUUAGAACAGAGGGAGACAGGUCUUGUUCGUGUGCUUUAUGAACCUCACUUGAGAAAGAGGGUUGAAAUCUCUAUUCCCUUUACAACUGUCCUUGGGAUUCCAUGUAGAGCGAUGAGGAAGCGGGACCCUGCUCUCAGACCUCAGUCCCCACAAUUUGUCUUCACAGCAGCACUCAGGAGCAGUUAUGUUGGGUCCCAGAAGGUAGCGGGGCUGAUGGGAAGCUCUUCCUUCUGUACUGUACUGAAUUUAGUGAGAAUCUUCAGGAAUUGAUGGUUUUUUCUUGCCCAGAAUACAGGACCUGGACUUCCCUUCCCUGCCUGUAGAUGCAGAAGGCUGUGAGUUUUGCUUCUUGGGAGCACAAGUCUGAAGAUUGUGCAAGUUGCUGCUGUUCAUGUAUCUGUGUAUUUACCAAAUAGUCUAUCAAAAGUCUCUCAAAAAACUUUA